ACCGCCGCUCUGAGGAACUUCCUGGGUAUAGGAGUCCCUGCUACCCGGGGGAACCCAGCCAUUUCAAUUUCUCCUGUUGUGAAUGAUCACCGCCUGCCUUCCUGGAGUUGAUUUCUAGACCUAGUUUUAUGCAUUUUCUGGGGACAGCAUCCGCUGUUUUUGAGAACACUCUUCUCUGUCUGCAGGUUACUACAAGAUAUUGAAUCUAGUUCCUUGUGCUGUACAGAAGAAAGUUGAUGUUCAUCUAUUUUCCUGCCAUUGUUUCAAUGCCCUGCCAUCACUGUCUUGAAACUCUUAAUCAUUUUGUCUUUGAACUUGUGUUUUGUGAGCGAAGCCCAAUGAGACAAUGGCACAUACUCGUGAACUGAGGAGAUAAGCACAAAAUUCAUGUACUCUAUUCUUUAUCACCUCAUUUGCAUGUAGCAUUAGUGAUGCCUUUUUUGAACAAGGGGUUUUGCAUUCUCAUUUUGCACUGGGCCAUGCAAAUUAUGAAUCUAGCCCUGACAAUAGCCCUCCUUCACCAGGCUCCAAUCCUGAAUAAAUGUCUAUCCUCUGAUCCUACCCUACUGUGAAUAUUACAUCUUCUACUGCAUAUAGUAUAAAUAUAUUAAAAUUGCCUGUUCAUGUAUCU